rnacentral:rRNA from 1 species
ACUAAGCGUACACGGUGGAUGCCCUGGCAGUCAGAGGCGAUGAAGGACGUGCUAAUCUGCGAUAAGCGUCGGUAAGGUGAUAUGAACCGUUAUAACCGGCGAUUUCCGAAUGGGGAAACCCAGUGUGUUUCGACACACUAUCAUUAACUGAAUCCAUAGGUUAAUGAGGCGAACCGGGGGAACUGAAACAUCUAAGUACCCCGAGGAAAAGAAAUCAACCGAGAUUCCCCCAGUAGCGGCGAGCGAACGGGGAGCAGCCCAGAGCCUGAAUCAGUGUGUGUGUUAGUGGAAGCGUCUGGAAAGGCGCGCGAUACAGGGUGACAGCCCCGUACACAAAAAUGCACAUGCUGUGAGCUCGAUGAGUAGGGCGGGACACGUGGUAUCCUGUCUGAAUAUGGGGGGACCAUCCUCCAAGGCUAAAUACUCCUGACUGACCGAUAGUGAACCAGUACCGUGAGGGAAAGGCGAAAAGAACCCCGGCGAGGGGAGUGAAAAAGAACCUGAAACCGUGUACGUACAAGCAGUGGGAGCCUCUUUAUGGGGUGACUGCGUACCUUUUGUAUAAUGGGUCAGCGACUUAUAUUCUGUAGCAAGGUUAACCGAAUAGGGGAGCCGAAGGGAAACCGAGUCUUAACUGGGCGUUAAGUUGCAGGGUAUAGACCCGAAACCCGGUGAUCUAGCCAUGGGCAGGUUGAAGGUUGGGUAACACUAACUGGAGGACCGAACCGACUAAUGUUGAAAAAUUAGCGGAUGACUUGUGGCUGGGGGUGAAAGGCCAAUCAAACCGGGAGAUAGCUGGUUCUCCCCGAAAGCUAUUUAGGUAGCGCCUCGUGAAUUCAUCUCCGGGGUAGAGCACUGUUUCGGCAAGGGGGUCAUCCCGACUUACCAACCCGAUGCAAACUGCGAAUACCGGAGAAUGUUAUCACGGGAGACACACGGCGGGUGCUAACGUCCGUCGUGAAGAGGGAAACAACCCAGACCGCCAGCUAAGGUCCCAAAGUCAUGGUUAAGUGGGAAACGAUGUGGGAAGGCCCAGACAGCCAGGAUGUUGGCUUAGAAGCAGCCAUCAUUUAAAGAAAGCGUAAUAGCUCACUGGUCGAGUCGGCCUGCGCGGAAGAUGUAACGGGGCUAAACCAUGCACCGAAGCUGCGGCAGCGACGCUUAUGCGUUGUUGGGUAGGGGAGCGUUCUGUAAGCCUGUGAAGGUGUGCUGUGAGGCAUGCUGGAGGUAUCAGAAGUGCGAAUGCUGACAUAAGUAACGAUAAAGCGGGUGAAAAGCCCGCUCGCCGGAAGACCAAGGGUUCCUGUCCAACGUUAAUCGGGGCAGGGUGAGUCGACUCCUAAGGCGAGGCCGAAAGGCGUAGUCGAUGGGAAACAGGUUAAUAUUCCUGUACUUGGUGUUACUGCGAAGGGGGGACGGAGAAGGCUAUGUUGGCCGGGCGACGGUUGUCCCGGUUUAAGCGUGUAGGCUGAUUUUCCAGGCAAAUCCGGAAAAUCAAGGCUGAGGCGUGAUGACGAGGCACUACGGUGCUGAAGCAACAAAUGCCCUGCUUCCAGGAAAAGCCUCUAAGCAUCAGGUAACAUCAAAUCGUACCCCAAACCGACACAGGUGGUCAGGUAGAGAAUACCAAGGCGCUUGAGAGAACUCGGGUGAAGGAACUAGGCAAAAUGGUGCCGUAACUUCGGGAGAAGGCACGCUGAUAUGUAGGUGAAGUCCCUCGCGGAUGGAGCUGAAAUCAGUCGAAGAUACCAGCUGGCUGCAACUGUUUAUUAAAAACACAGCACUGUGCAAACACGAAAGUGGACGUAUACGGUGUGACGCCUGCCCGGUGCCGGAAGGUUAAUUGAUGGGGUCAGCGCAAGCGAAGCUCUUGAUCGAAGCCCCGGUAAACGGCGGCCGUAACUAUAACGGUCCUAAGGUAGCGAAAUUCCUUGUCGGGUAAGUUCCGACCUGCACGAAUGGCGUAAUGAUGGCCAGGCUGUCUCCACCCGAGACUCAGUGAAAUUGAACUCGCUGUGAAGAUGCAGUGUACCCGCGGCAAGACGGAAAGACCCCGUGAACCUUUACUAUAGCUUGACACUGAACAUUGAGCCUUGAUGUGUAGGAUAGGUGGGAGGCUUAGAAGUGUGGACGCCAGUCUGCAUGGAGCCGGCCUUGAAAUACCACCCUUUAAUGUUUGAUGUUCUAACGUGGACCCGUAAUCCGGGUUGCGGACAGUGUCUGGUGGGUAGUUUGACUGGGGCGGUCUCCUCCUAAAGAGUAACGGAGGAGCACGAAGGUUGGCUAAUCCUGGUCGGACAUCAGGAGGUUAGUGCAAUGGCAUAAGCCAGCUUGACUGCGAGCGUGACGGCGCGAGCAGGUGCGAAAGCAGGUCAUAGUGAUCCGGUGGUUCUAAAUGGAAGGGCCAUCGCUCAACGGAUAAAAGGUACUCCGGGGAUAACAGGCUGAUACCGCCCAAGAGUUCAUAUCGACGGCGGUGUUUGGCACCUCGAUGUCGGCUCAUCACAUCCUGGGGCUGAAGUAGGUCCCAAGGGUAUGGCUGUUCGCCAUUUAAAGUGGUACGCGAGCUGGGUUUAGAACGUCGUGAGACAGUUCGGUCCCUAUCUGCCGUGGGCGCUGGAGAACUGAGGGGGCUGCUCCUAGUACGAGAGGACCGGAGUGGACGCAUCACUGGUGUUCGGGUUGUCAUGCCAAUGGCACUGCCCGGUAGCUAAAUGCGGAAGAGAUAAGUGCUGAAAGCAUCUAAGCACGAAACUUGCCCGAGAUGAGUUCUCCCUGACUCCUUGAGAGUCCUGAAGGAACGUUGAAGACGACGACGUUGAUAGGCCGGGUGUGUAAGCGCAGCGAUGCGUUGAGCUAACCGGUACUAAUGAACCGUGAGGCUUAACC